rnacentral:ncRNA from 1 species
GCGAGCCGGAUGAUGCUAACGUAUCAAGUCCGGUUCUGAGGGAGGCCGAGGGAAAAGGAUUGGACCACAAUACCUUGCCAGCGGCCUACCCUAC